AUACGUAGGUGACAAGCGUUAUCCGGAUUUACUGGGCGUAAAGGGCGUGUAGGCGGUCUUGCAAGUCAGAAGUGAAAUUCCUGAGCUCAACUCGGGCGCUGCUUCUGAAACUGCAGGACUUGAGUGAUGGAGGGGAUAGCGGAAUUCCUAGUGGAGCGGUAAAAUGCGCAGAUAUGAGGAAGAACACCGGUGGCGUAGGCGGCGAUCUGGACAGUAACUGACGCUGAGGCGGGAAAGCGUGGGGAGCAAAAAGGAUUAGAUACCCUGGUAGUCCACGCCGUAAACAAUGAAUACUAAGUGUAGGGGGUAUCUUCUCCCUCUGUGCCGCAGUUAACACAAUAAGUAUUCAGCCUGGGGAGUACGGCCGCAAGGUUGAAACUCAAAUGAAUUGACGGGU
rnacentral:rRNA from 1 species